rnacentral:rRNA from 1 species
GGGAGUAGCGCUAGACUAUACAUGCAGUCGACGCACAGCGAAAGGUGCUUGCACCUUUCAAGUGAGUGGCGAACGGGUGAGUAACACGUGGACAACCUGCCUCAAGGCUGGGGAUAACAUUUGGAAACAGAUGCUAAUACCGAAUAAAACUUAGUGUCGCAUGACACAAAGUUAAAAGGCGCUUCGGCGUCACCUAGAGAUGGAUCCGCGGUGCAUUAGUUAGUUGGUGGGGUAAAGGCCUACCAAGACAAUGAUGCAUAGCCGAGUUGAGAGACUGAUCGGCCACAUUGGGACUGAGACACGGCCCAAACUCCUACGGGAGGCUGCAGUAGGGAAUCUUCCACAAUGGGCGAAAGCCUGAUGGAGCAACGCCGCGUGUGUGAUGAAGGCUUUCGGGUCGUAAAGCACUGUUGUAUGGGAAGAACAGCUAGAAUAGGAAAUGAUUUUAGUUUGACGGUACCAUACCAGAAAGGGACGGCUAAAUACGUGCCAGCAGCCGCGGUAAUACGUAUGUCCCGAGCGUUAUCCGGAUUUAUUGGGCGUAAAGCGAGCGCAGACGGUUUAUUAAGUCUGAUGUGAAAGCCCGGAGCUCAACUCCGGAAUGGCAUUGGAAACUGGUUAACUUGAGUGCAGUAGAGGUAAGUGGAACUCCAUGUGUAGCGGUGGAAUGCGUAGAUAUAUGGAAGAACACCAGUGGCGAAGGCGGCUUACUGGACUGCAACUGACGUUGAGGCUCGAAAGUGUGGGUAGCAAACAGGAUUAGAUACCCUGGUAGUCCACACCGUAAACGAUGAACACUAGGUGUUAGGAGGUUUCCGCCUCUUAGUGCCGAAGCUAACGCAUUAAGUGUUCCGCCUGGGGAGUACGACCGCAAGGUUGAAACUCAAAGGAAUUGACGGGGACCCGCACAAGCGGUGGAGCAUGUGGUUUAAUUCGAAGCAACGCGAAGAACCUUACCAGGUCUUGACAUCCUUUGAAGCUUUUAGAGAUAGAAGUGUUCUCUUCGGAGACAAAGUGACAGGUGGUGCAUGGUUCGUCGUCAGCUCGUGUCGUGAGAUGUUGGGUUAAGUCCCGCAACGAGCGCAACCCCUUAAUCGUUAGUUUGCCAGCAUUCAGAUGGGCACUCUAGGCGAGACUGCC